GCCCAGUUAGCUUGGUGGUAGCGCGUCUGUCUUGUAAGCGCUAGACCGCGGAUUCGAUUCCCGCCCGGGGCG
rnacentral:tRNA from 1 species